rnacentral:rRNA from 1 species
GACGAACGCUGGCGGCGUGCCUAAUACAUGCAAGUCGAACGAGAGCAACCGGUGCUUCACUGGUCAAUCUAGUGGCGAACGGGUGAGUAACACGUGGGUAACCUGCCCAUCAGAGGGGGAUAACAUCCGGAAACGGAUGCUAAAACCGCAUAGGUCUUCGAACCGCAUGGUUUGAAGAGGAAAAGAGGCGCAAGCUUCUGCUGAUGGAUGGACCCGCGGUGCAUUAGCUAGUUGGUGAGGUAACGGCUCACCAAGGCCGUGAUGCAUAGCCGACCUGAGAGGGUGAUCGGCCACAUUGGGACUGAGACACGGCCCAAACUCCUACGGGAGGCAGCAGUAGGGAAUCUUCCGCAAUGGACGCAAGUCUGACGGAGCAACGCCGCGUGAGUGAAGAAGGUUUUCGGAUCGUAAAACUCUGUUGUUAGAGAAGAACAAGUGCUAGAGUAACUGUUAGCGCCUUGACGGUAUCUAACCAGAAAGCCACGGCUAACUACGUG